rnacentral:rRNA from 1 species
UACAGAGGGGGCAAGCGUUGUUCGGAAUUACUGGGCGUAAAGGGCGCGUAGGCGGCCUGUUAAGUCGAACGUGAAAUCCCCGGGCUCAACCCGGGAACUGCGUCCGAUACUGGCAGGCUUGAAUCCGGGAGAGGGAUGCGGAAUUCCAGGUGUAGCGGUGAAAUGCGUAGAUAUCGAGAGGAACACCUGCGGCGAAGGCGGGUUGCUGGGCUGACACUGACGCUGAUGCGCGAAAGCCAGGGGAGCGAACGGG